UGAGGAAUAUUGGUCAAUGGGCGUGAGCCUGAACCAGCCAAGCCGCGUGAGGGAAGAAGGUACGAAGUAUCGUAAACCUCUUUUGUCAGGGAACAAGAACCGCUCCGCGGAGCGGUCUGAGUGUACCUGAAGAAAAAGCAUCGGCUAACUCCGUGCCAGCAGCCGCGGUAAUACGGAGGAUGCGAGCGUUAUCCGGAUUUAUUGGGUUUAAAGGGUGCGUAGGCGGUUGAUUAAGUCAGCGGUAAAAUGCCCGGGGCUCAACCCCGGCGAGCCGUUGAAACUGGUCGGCUGGAGUUGGAGAGAAGUAUGCGGAAUGCGCGGUGUAGCGGUGAAAUGCAUAGAUAUCGCGCAGAACUCCGAUUGCGAAGGCAGCAUACCGGCUCCAUACUGACGCUGAGGCACGAAAGCGUGGGUAUCGAACAGGAUUAGAUACC
rnacentral:rRNA from 1 species